rnacentral:lncRNA from 1 species
UUUGUGUGUGUGUGUUUAGCCAGCAUGUAUGUCUAUGCACCAUAUGUACAAAGUACACACAGAGCUCAUAAGAGGACAGAGGAUCCUCUGGAACUGGAGUUGUAGACAGUUGUGAGCCUCUGUAUAGGCGCUGGGAAUCAAUCCCUGGUACUUUGGAAAGCAGCCAGUGCUCUUACCUACUGAGCCGUCCUCUGGAGCCCCACAGUUUACCCUUUAGAAGCUAAGCAACUGUUACUAAGCUGAAAUUUACACGUUGUCCUUCUUCUUUACUGAAAGUAUAUAGUUUGGUGACCUUUAGCAUAUACAUAGAUAUUUGUAAUCAUGAUCACAAUUUUUCUUCUUUCUUUUUAAUUUUUUUUUCUCAUCUUUUAUGGGAGCACUGGAGAGAUGGCUCGGUGGUUAAGGACAUGUUCUACUUUUGCAAGAGGACGCUGGUUCAGUUGCCAGCACCCACAUGGUGGUUCCCAACUGUCUGGAACUCCAGGUCCAUGGCAUCCAAUGCCUUCUGGCCUCUCCAGGCACCAGGAGUGCACAGGGCACACAGACACAUAUAAAGAAAAACGCUGUCAGAGAUUAAGGAGAGCAUCUAGAGCCUUUCAUCUGCACAAGAAAGACCUGGGAGCUUCAGAGACCUGGGAGGCUGUUCAAAGGCUGUUCACCUGGCCCAGAAGCCAAAUUUGAUCCUAAGCUCUCCUUAUUGAAGAGGGCUGGUGUUGAUAGAGAAAAUGGUCCUGGGCCAUUUGGAGCUGGUCUGGAAUGCCAGCCCGAAGAACGUGAAGCACUUAUUGGGUAUGGAGUGGAGGUUGAGGUGGAGGCUGGAGGCUGUCUUGCCCCCCCCAGGUUUUUCCUUGAGUCUGGGUUGCAGCCAAGGAAAACACGAGGCUUGUUCCCCCUCGCUCCAGCAGAAGACAAAACCGGGGCUUUACAAUUACCGUCUGGAAAAAAUCUUCCACCUCACAUCCUCCUGCAGGCCCCCCAGCCCCAAGGAGGGGAGGGACACUCUGUUGGCAGUAGGGACAGGGGUUCCAGGGUCUGGAAACAAGAUGGGCUUCUUCCCUCAAGGGGCUCACAAUCUUUGGUAAAACCAGACAGACCUUGGGCGUAACGGGGGGGGGGGGGAAACUCCUUUAUUGCACACUGAAAUUCCAUCCACGGGGAAACUAACUGGCUGGAGCGUAGAGCCAGGCUCCAGAGGAAACAGCCAAGCCCAGGCGAACCCCCACUUCAGCCUUAGUCCUCACCUGAUGCCCUAAACCCCACACCUAUCUGGCCAGCCAUCAAAUUUCCCCUGCCUGAUCUGUGUCCUGCCCUCCAAGUCCGCCCCUACCGAAAAUUCCAAUCCGUUUGCAAAGAAAUGAUUGUGUGAGAUGGGAGGCAUUCCCCUGUCUGCGCAGUUUCUCUUAUCGCUCUGCUCACUGUCCUCUCCCUGAGCCCAGAUGUCCCUAGGACUAGAUCUAGGAAAGGAUGUAUGACGGGUUGCUCUUCUCUGCGACCUCCUCGUCCCUCCCCACUCAGCUGCUUUCCUGCUCUGGCUCCCGCACCGGGCUGGGGAGCCAACUAAAUCUGAUGAAAAUGCAAUUGCCAAGUCGUUAAGGUAUUUGAAUUUAAAAAAAAAAAUAAAAAAAACUCCUGAG